AAAAUUGAAUUGAAGUGACUUAUUCUUUUUUUUUUUUUGAAGGUUAUGAGACUUAAGAUAACCAGCAUGGUGCUAGACACAUAGAAAAUAUUUUCAAGUAUUCGCUUGUUGAGUGCUGUGACACCUGAGAAACUUGAAGAACAAAACCAAUGGGCUGUAGCCCAGGCACACACCAUGGCUGAAAGAGCUCCAGUAAAAGGCAGCGUGUGCACGCACGUACUGUGUUUUGAGAAGAUCUCUAAAAGCAGAGAAUUUAGAGUGAAAAACUUAAGACCACUUGAAAAACAGAUGAUCUGGUUUUAUAGAUCUCUGUCUUCCAGAAGGCUGCUUUCACGUUCGAUUAUGUGGAGAAGGAACAGAAGUCCUGAAGACAUAAUGAAUCAAGGCCUGACUUAAAGACAGUGUGCUCUGGAAGGCUCUCCCUUCAGCAAUAUCACCAAUGGCACGGGCUGCUGCAGUCUGCUCUCACUUCGUUCUCCAAAGCUGGCAAAUCCUCCAGCUCUCAGUUGCAGGGAUUGUGUGUUGUGUCUGCACCUUCCAUGAUGAUCCACAGCAUCCCUCUUCCUUCUGUAGAAUUUGCACUGAAGAUUUCUGACUCUCCCCUUGGAAUGAAUUUUUCUACUUCUUUUAUGCUAUUUUCUCCUCACUUAAAGCAGUGUGCCUUUUCCAUAUUCAGCCAUCUUGGAAUCCUCAGUAAUGAAUUUUUGAAUUAUACUAAAUGGAAUUUUUAUUUUCUACAGAAAUGAUAUCUUUUUGCCUUUAUU
rnacentral:lncRNA from 1 species